AAACAUGCACACCAAUGCACAUUUUUGUUUUAUUUAUUCAUUCGUUCAUUCAUAUGUUAGUCCUACUGUUUUUAUUCCCAAGGGAAUUGACAUCUGAAACAUUGUUUUGAUUAAUGGACACUGGAAAAAGGCUCAUGAUAGCGGCAAGAUCCAAACAGGAAGGAAAAGGCAUUACAGAGCAAAAUCAAUUCUAAUCUGCAAGAGCAAUCAAUAGGAGACUUGUUGAGGCAGUUAUGAAGUGAACUGCACAAGAAAAAUCAUAUUUGUUCGAAAGCUGCCCAGAACUAAUACAGUUGAACUUCUUAGGUCAAGGAAUUACUCUGCUUUUUCUGGCUAUGAUUUUUGUAGUCUCAUAGAAGUCCUUCUGAAACCUUUUAAAAAAGUACCAUCCUAAAAAAAAAAUACCACCAUCAUGACUAAAAUUAAAAUACAAAGCGUAGUAGCUGUAAGUGUUCAUGAAAAUAUUAUUGCAAGUCAUUAUAACAUUAUGCACAGUUUAAACAUUAACACUGCAACUAAAUAUAGAAUAAUUGUAGUGAAAAGUUAAGAAUACAGUCAUUUGUAAGAAGUCUCCCUGUAUUUAGGGUAAAUGUGCAUAGUUAAAAUCAUUUCUUUUCAUGCCCAGUUAUACGGUAGAGUCAUUAGCAUAUUCCUAAGUAUUCAUUUGUUUUUUUAAUCAACACUUAUGUUUUAACAUAUAUAUUAGUAUUUCCAUAUUUUUUAGCUGCAUUACUUUAUGCAAAACAUGUUGUGUACACCUGAAGUUUGUCCCUUCAAUGAUGCCGUGGCUCUCCCCCCUCCCCACAAGUGUAAUCUGUUGUGACAUGCACUCAUUCGUCACAUUCUGAAGAGAGAUACAGUAAAUGCAGCCGUGUAAUUGUUUCCCGUGUCCUAAUUAAUAGUUAUCAUACAAAAACAAAUAAGUAAAUAAAAAUAACAUUUUAACAUACGAUACUCAACAGUGGCCUGUUGCAGGCAACAUAGCCAACAAAACUGCACACCAAUAAUUUUGGGGGGAGUCGAAAGAAUAUAAUUUCCCUCUUCCCCCAAUUAAUGAGUGUCGCAAAGCAAUGCGGAGUCAGGAGAUAGCGGCGGGGAAGCAGCCAGGUGUGAAAUGGAGAGCGCUAAAGAGAGAGAGAGAGAGAGAGAAAGAGAGAGAGAGAGAGAGAGAGAGAGAGAGAGAGAGAGAGAGAAAGUACAAAGCCGGCCACUGAGAACAGUGAAAUAAACUUCCUGCAAAGCAGUUUGCUUUUUGAUUGGCGAGACAAAUAAAAAAUUAUGCAAGGAUAAGAGUGUAGCCACCAGAGGCAGUGAUGGGGUUCAUGUGGAUUCAACAAGCCAGAAAAGACUGGCAGAGAGCAGGAGAUCUGGCAGUCCACAGGAAGAAUGAUGAGGAGGAAAUGAGAGAAAUUAUAGAAGAAAAGUAAUGGAUUUAUGAAGCAUGCACAAAGGGAACAUAUAUUAGAAAGACUCUAAUCCUUGUAUUUAGGGUGACAGUAAGCCACAAAAUCAUUGUGUGGGAUCUGCAAUUAUCCUUAGCUUCUUAGUGAGCCGUGUUUAAUCUUAAAUAAUAUUAAUCUGUCACACAGUGGUGAUUUCUAUAGGUGUAGCUGGGUCAAAACUUGUCAAUCAGGGAUAACACUGUGUUUGUUCUGGUCUAACUGUUUAAAAGGAGACAGCUUUUAUUUUACACAUUAUAUACAAAAACCACAAUGGAACCACAAAGGUCAAACACAAUCCAUUGCAGGACAAUUUUCUCAUUGAAAAUAAUGGAAAUAAAAUGAUCCAUGGUUCAACAAAACAAAACAAAAACAAAAAAUGCUUGCAAUAUCUCAACGUUAUUACAAGUAAAGACACUCAGCAAUUUUGAUAUUUUCGCAACAAACAUGAAGUCCACGCACAUAAAAUGAUGUGGGAGGCCGGCGGUGGCCCCUGGGCCACGUGUUCAACACCUAUGCAGUACAUUAUAAAUUUGAUUUUAAAAAAUAUGACAUUUUGUCACACAUUUAAUUUGAUUGUGUACAUGUUUUUGUCUAUUUCUUAUUAUGUCAAUACUGCAGUAUACAGUAUCCAGAGUUUAAUGGCAUUGUUACUGUGGUAAAGUAUAGUUUUGUGAUAGACUCCGAUUUGCGGACUACAGGUUUCGAGUUUUUGAUAAAGCGUUAUAUACCUGUAGGUGGAUGCAUAAAAUAUAAUCUGUUUUAGAAGACCACAUAAGAUGUGUGAUUUGACAGGAUGCACUUUUAAUUUUCAUAUGGUGGUGUAAAAUGAAACCAUACAUGGCACAUCUCCUUUAAGUUUGAGAUAUAUAUUUUUUGAGGAGGUAGCCGCAUUUAGCUGUAGCGGUCCCUUCUUGUUUGUCUCUGCUUUUACACAUCACAUCAGGCAUGAAGUAUCUGGUAUGAAAUAAGAGCCAUCAGACGCUGUCCACUUUCUGUCUCGCUGACAGGAUGAUACAGCGAGGCCGCCCGUGACUUUUAAAAGACUCCAGCAAACUGCUUUUUGCGUUAAUGGCACGAGGGCAGCUGAGCAAUGGUCCCAUCGCCGAGGAUGAGAUUUCAUCUGUCUGUCAGUGCGCCAUCCUUUUUAAUGUGAAAUGAGAAGCAGAACCCACUGCCAAUGUUACUUAAUCUCCAUGAGGUAUACUAGGUGACACACUAUUUAAAGCAUAAACAGGAGAAAAAUAUAACCUAAAAGGGUUUUAGCCUUGUCUUUCUUUGGCAAGACAAGAUGAAGAAAACAAAGGACCAAAAAAGGAAAUAAAAAGCAGAGCCCAGAGUGUGACAGAUAACCAAGCACCAAAGACAUGAAACCUUUUUGUGCCGCAUGGACACAUACCAAACAUAAACAACCCCUCGCCCCGCUAACAAUUUCAUGGAGCAAUCAACAUCACACUUUGUGACUAGUCCAGUCAGAAGAACAAUGCAUAUACUUAUAUCACAUCAAUUUAAGAGACUACGUCCUUCGGCUGGCCUGGGAACGCCUCGGGAUCCCCCCGGAAGAGCUGGAUGAAGUGGCUGGGGAGAGGGAAGUCUGGGCGUACCUACUAAAGCUACUGCCCCCGCGACCCGACCUCGGAUAAGCGGUGGAAAAUGGAUGGAUGUACAUCAAUUUAAUUACAGGAACAAGAAUGUGUUAAUUUCUGAGAGUGUUUCUGUUUACUUUUUCAUAUGUGUGUGUGAGCAUCAAGAUGCUGUGUUUGUUUGUGUUUGCGCCUGCUGCUGCAACAGCCACAUUUCUGUGCACGACUUUGACUGCAUGGCUAUGUGCGUGUUUUCAGUCGACUGGAGUUUAGCAUCACCCCCAAAGGGAAAUUACAGCAUAGCAGAUG